UAAUAAGCUAUUAAGGGCUAAUGGUGGAUGCCUAGACUGUAAGAGGCGAUGAAAGACGUAUUAGGCUGCGAUAAGCCUCGGGGAGCUGCCAAAGAGCUUUGAUCCGGGGAUUUCUGAAUGGGGCAACCCAAUAUAAUGAGAAUUAUAUUACCCUACGGGGAGCGAACCUAGUGAAGUGAAACAUCUCAGUAGCUAGAGGAAGAGAAAUCAAACGAGAUUCCCAAAGUAGCGGCGAGCGAAAUGGGAUUAGGACAAACCCAAUGCUUGCAUUGGGGGUUGUAGGACCAUGAUAUGAGACUAAAGAGGAUAGAUGAAAUACUUGGAAAAGUGUAGCAUAGAAGGUGAAACUCCUGUAAUUAAAAUUCUCAAUAGCUCUAAUGGUAUCCUGAGUAGGUCGGAACACGUGAUAUUUUGACUGAAGCCGGGGGGACCACCCUCCAAUCCUAAAUACUACUUACAGAUCGAUAGUGAACAAGUACCGUGAGGGAAAGGUGAAAAGUACUCCAGCGAGGAGAGUGAAAUAGAACCUGAAACCAUUAGCUUACAAUCAUUCAGAGCCCUAUGAUUUAUCAGGGUGAUGGACUGCCUUUUGCAUAAUGAGCCUGCGAGUUGUGGUGUCUGGCAAGGUUAAGUCAAGUACGAAGCCGUAGCGAAAGCGAGUCUUAAUAGGGCGAAUUAGUCAGAUGCUGCAGACCCGAAACGAAGUGAUCUAUCCAUGAGCAGGUUGAAGCUGGUGUAAGAGCCAGUGGAGGACCGAACCCGCAGGCGUUGAAAAGUCUUGGGAUGACUUGUGGAUAGGGGUGAAAGGCCAAUCAAACUUCGUGAUAGCUGGUUCUCUCCGAAAUAUAUUUAGGUAUAGCCUUGUGUUGUAGCAUAUGGGGGUAGAGCACUGAAUGGGCUAGGGCUGCUUACCGCGGUACCAAACCCUAUCAAACUAUGAAUACUAUAUGUGGAAUCACAGGAGUCAGGCGGUGGGUGAUAAAAUCAAUCGUCGAGAGGGGAACAACCCAGACUAACAGCUAAGGUCCCUAAGUUACAUCUAAGUGGAAAACGAUGUGGAGUUACUGUGACAACCAGGAGGUUGGCUUAGAAGCAGCCAUCCUUUAAAGAAAGCGUAACAGCUCACUGGUCUAGUGAUUCUGCGCGGAAAAUAUAACGGGGCUAAGAUGUACACCGAAGCUUUAGAUUCAAUUUUUAAUUGAGUGGUAGGAGAGCGUUCUAUUCAGCGUAGAAGAUG
rnacentral:rRNA from 1 species